GCGUCGGUGGUAGAGUGGUCAAUUACAAGAGACUGUAAAUCUCUCGCCUUCGGGCUACGUAGGUUCGAAUCCUACCCGACGCA
rfam:Candidatus Zambryskibacteria bacterium RIFCSPLOWO2_01_FTLL_43_17 rifcsplowo2_01_scaffold_2385, whole genome shotgun sequence.